AGCAGCCGCGGUAAUUCCAGCUCCAAUAGCGUAUAUUAAAGUUGUUGCAGUUAAAAAGCUCGUAGUUGAAUUUCGAGAUCAAUUUGUUGGUCGUGCCUCGGUACGUACUGGCAAUUUUGAUUUCUCCCUUCUGAAGAACCAUGAUGUCAUUAAUUUGGUGUCAUGGGGAAUCAGGACYGUUACUUUGAAAAAAUUAGAGUGUUUAAAGCAGGCUCGCGCUUGAAUACAUUAGCAUGGAAUAAUGAAAUAGGACGUUUGAUUCUAUUUUGUUGGUUUCUAGGAUCGACGUAAUGAUUAAUAGGGAUAGUUGGGGGCAUUAGUAUUCAAUUGUCAGAGGUGAAAUUCUUGGAUUUAUUGAAGACUAACUACUGCGAAAGCAUUUGCCAAGGAUGUUUUCAUUAAUCAAGAACGAAAGUUAGGGGAUCGAAGACGAUCAGAUACCGUCGUAGUCUUAACCAUAAACUAUGCCGACUAGGGAUCGGA
rnacentral:rRNA from 1 species